GCCUCAUCGCUCUGCUCCCGCUCCUUAGGGAAGCCUCGGUGAUUCUGCCACAGCCUCAGCCUCUGUGGCUCUGUGACCUGCCGGUAUUGGAUGAUUCGUAUCUAAGACUCUGGGACACUCCUGAAGUCGGGAAAUGGUGAGUGUGCAGGGCAGGGCGUCCCAAGGCUGUGGAGGCCUCAUCGGAACCGGCGGGAAAUGGCGGCGGUGGGAGGAGUCUGUGAAUGGAGUUCCCGCUCAGCCCUCUGUCCUCAGUCCCCUCCGGUGAGGGACCCGCGCUCUUGUCAGUCCCCGUACAGCGGCUCUGGCCCAGCCUGCAGCCCUCCUUGUGCAGCUCUGCGCCGGUAGCCCUGCACUUUCCCCGGGCUGUGGAGUGAGUAGGAGCUCAUCCGGAAGACACCGCGGCGGCCUGCGCGGUGCCGGCGUGGGAGGAGCUGUGGUCCGGAAUCCCGUCCCUACUUUACCCUGUUCAGAAUGAGAUUGAGGCCCCAUCAAAACAUGGAGUUCAUGUGAGCAAACAGGACUUAUUAAUGGGAAAGCUCUGCCGUGGCUCGUGGUUUGGGGACUGCCAGCGGGUCUUGAAGGAAAGGCUUUUGUGAGGUGUGUGAGGAAGCGAAGCAAAUCACCUGCCUGCGCCAACUUUGCCGCCAGUCCCCUUGCCCUGUGCGCCUCCUCCGCGUGGCUGUUCCUGAAUACGCUGGUGUCUGUUCGCAUCUUUUAGAAUACGCUGGUGUCGGUGCGCACAGCGCUUCUCUUAGUUCU
rnacentral:lncRNA from 1 species